rnacentral:rRNA from 1 species
UACGGAGGAUUCGAGCGUUAUCCGGAUUUACUGGGUGUAAAGGGCGUGUAGGCGGGACUGCAAGUCAGAUGUGAAAUUCCAGGGCUCAACCCUGGAACUGCAUUUGAAACUGUAGUUCUUGAGUGAUGGAGAGGCAGGCGGAAUUCCGUGUGUAGCGGUGAAAUGCGUAGAUAUACGGAGGAACACCAGUGGCGAAGGCGGAUUGCUGGACAGUAACUGACGCUGAUGCGCGAAAGCGUGGGGAGCAAACAGG